rfam:Myotis lucifugus cont2.8796, whole genome shotgun sequence.
GAAGGUUCACAGGUGACGUGCCCCGGAACCAGGCCCCCUCCUCUCUGGUUCCGGGUGCAUUACCCAAGAACCACA